rnacentral:misc_RNA from 1 species
GACCUCGUACGACGUGCGAUUCACCCGCGCGCACCUACGCUUGUGUGUGGGUGCGCGCUUCGCUCCGUUUCACUUGCCGUUGCUGCUUAGACGCCUUUUUUUUCUGUGUUGUUGUGCGUGUGCACGCCGAGCGAAGGCGCGCACGUUGCAGAGGGCAUCCCCUUUCUUCUGCUGCUUGCUUUGCACCGAAACUUGUAUUCAAGCUUACUACCUCUCUGCUGUCCACACUCGGAGCACAGUGGUAGCGCGACAACGGGUUGUACUUCUACAUAGAGUAGGCUACUGCUGGUCUGUUUUGCUGUUCGCCUUCUGUACACGAAGACUUUCUCUACCUGCGUGGCUGGCACCGGCGACGCACCACGACAACUGGUCUCGUCGCCGUCUUCCUUAGUUUAUUCUUUCCUUCAAGUGUGCUGCACUCUCCACAUCAUCGUCAAGGCUCUGCGUGACUCGUUAAGCCAUGAGGUUCUCUAUUGUUGGUGGUCCACUGGCAUCUACCAUUUCUCUUGAGGCGAAGCAGUCCGACAGCUUCGAGUCCAUCUUCAAGAAGGUCCAAGAAGCUGCUGGCAAGGCAACGCCGCUCGAUGCGUAUGACUUGUACACGACAAGGCGCUCGUCGCUGACCGGGGAGCUUGUCGCGGCUGCCGGCCCGCUACGCCCCACAGAUACCCCCUCGGCCCUUCAGCUGGACUUCGAACAGAGUGAUUCACACAUCCUCAUGCUGAUGCAAAGCGGUGCAGACGCCGAGCGUGGCAGUACGCAAAAUCAGCUCUUGUGCAGCACCGCCGCUGCAGGGGACGCUAGCAGGCUAGACGGCACCACCAUCGCCUCCACAUCGCCGUCUCUCAUGACCACGCCGCGGGCGACAGAUGAGUAUCGGCGCCGCAUGCGUGCCAUGUACAUCAAGUACGACCCUGGCCAGAUACACAAGGUCGAAGUGGCACUCGACCGUUACCGCGGCUACGAGGAAGACGUGCUGCAACAGCUGGUGAAAAGGUACGGGCCCGAGCCGGCUCUAGGGGAGGUCGAUCUGUCUCCCAAAGCCCUUGUUUUGCCGUCGUCCGGCCCCGACGCGCGUGAGAGCACGCAAUCGCACUCCGCUUCGGCAGACGAGGCCAAUCCACAUACGAAGCCGUCGUACUAUGAUCGACUUGUAGCCAUCUACUCCACGUACGAGCCGGCGAAGCUGAGCAAGGUUAAUGGGACGUUGAGGCGGUAUGCCGGUCGAGAGGAAGAGGUGAUCCAGCAGCUGGUGAAGAAAUACGGGCCAGAGCCCUCCACUGAGCGUGUGGCAACGACUAAGGUUCCGGAGGCGGCAAGGGAACAGCUUGCGCCAGCUUCUGGCGUGGGACGGCAGUUGACGUCAUCAGCGACUCAUGCAGAAGCUUCGGCACAUGCAAGUCCGGCAGUGCCCGCUGUCGAGAAACAGGUGGCGGCUGUGCCCGAGGUCAAGGAAGGUGCCGCAGUGCCCCUCAUAACCACCGCGAAAGUUGUAGCAGCAACCAUACCCGCAGCCCCACCAGUGGCCAGCGCCUACGGCGACUCCACCGUCGGAACGCAGCUGCCAAAUACCGAUAGAAGGCCGCUGGCGACGGUGACGUCUCCACUGGACGGCUCGCUGCCUCGCCACACAGCUGCUUCCACAGCUGUAGCCCCACCAAACAAGGCGAGCGCUGCGGAAUCGAUGGCGAUCGGUGGUAACUACCGAGAGCGCCUAGUCGCUUUCUACAACGCGUACAACCCUGCGAAGCUGCACACGGUUGAUGGCACGCUGAAGAAGUUUUCUGGGAAGGAGGAGGUGGCAAUCCAGCAGCUCGUGCGACGCUACGGAGCGGAGCCGGCCCCACUGAACCGAGAGGAGGCUCACAGGCUGUUGACAACUGCGGGCGCUGGCGGUGUGUCCAACACACCACCAAGCGCCAGCCCAACAACCACGAAUGCUCCAGGCAGUGCCGCCUCGUCGGUGGGGCGGGUAGAAAGCAUACUGGAGACGUACAAAAGUGGCGAGGAGGAGGUCAUGGCGCAAUCGGAGGUGCGCUAUGCUGCCCAAUGCGCUAAGAACAUCGCUGGUGAGCCUACGACGAGCGGUGCGAGCUCCUCGGCGGAGUCGGGGAGCUUCGGCGCGAUGGUGGCCUUUGCGCAGGUCAGUGCGGCCGCACCGUCUAUUGCGGUGAGCGUCCCACCAAGUCAUUGGAACUCUGCGAGUGGCACCGCGAGUGCUUCGACACCGUCGACAGUAGCGAGCACCACGGCUGCUUCGCCUGUUAGUCCCGCGGUUGCUCUGGUGGCGACGCCACAAACGACACGAGUAGGAACUGUGGUGCCGGCAGCCGCUGCCGUGCCUCACACGCAGGAGAGCAAGGCAUCGCAAGGUGGACCGCCGCAACGGAAGGCGCUGCCGCUUGCUGCGCUGCGAGUGGCGGCGGCACACGUGGAAGGUACAGCUCACAUGUCGUUGCGAGAACGGUACUGGGCCAUUUGGAGGACGCACCACGCACAGAAGAGAGCGGCUGUGCUGUUGCAGCAGGAGCUCUGGGUGGAAGUGCCAGGCGGUGCUGCCGGUCGCUACCGCCUCAACGACUCCGUGGAGCCUGCGUACACAGUCGCGAACCUUUCGGUAGUGGUGGCCCAGGAGGAGGGAGGCGGUUGCAGCGCACAAGGCCGCGCCUUGACGAGCGAGCUGCAGAUUGCAAUGCGGGCUCUGCUAGCAUCGCUGCGGCACUGCGUCGAGUCGCGAGUGAUUCAGGCGCAGUCCAGCGAAGAGCAUCAACAGGCGGACGCGCUACUCACCCACUGGGCUGCCCCAGAGAACCUUUGCCCGGUCACCGACUCUCCCGAGCUGGCAUGCGCUCUGCAUCAGGCUGCGCACCUUAUCGGCAAGCUGGAGGACCUCGUAACCGUGAUUCGCACGCAGGCGGGGCAGCUGCGCCAGCUAAAGGCGCUCCAUCGGGAUGUACUGGAGCGUAUGGAGCACGCUCACGCCAACACCCAGGCGCUGGGCAGGCUUCAAGCGCAGCUGAGCGCUGCGAACAAUGACCGCCGUGCACUGGAGCAGGAGCUGAAGCGCAUCUCUGCCGGCGGGGCGGAAAGCCACGCUCGUCCGGCAGCGUUGUGUCGUCUCUACCCUACUGCGGAGGAACGCAAAGAUGCCCAGAUCGCCAAACUUCAGCAAGAGCUGGCCAAAACACGCAACUUACUCUUCUUGUCCAAAGAGGCAGAGGAUAAGCUAAAGGUGCAGCUGCAGCUGAGUCACACUCGAGAAGCUCGCCGAAAGCACGAAGAGUGGCAUCGACAGGGAAAGAGUAGCCGGUACAGCAUCUCUGACCGGGCGUACGCACAGCCACGCAGUCGAUCCGCGAGAGCCGGUAGUGGCGCUCAUUCGUCGCCGUCGAACUCACCGUAUCGGCGCUACACGCCAGUGUCCACCCCGCGCGGCGCGUUCUCGUACGCCAUUGCUCAUGACACCCCGCGUGGCCCGUCGACCUUGCAGGUGCACGUGAACGGACACCCUGUCUCCUCGAUUCGUAGGCCGGAUGCGGCCACCGCCGAGCAGGAUCGCACAAGCAUCUCAGUCAACAGUAGCACGCCGUGGCCCUCGUCGCGCUACGUCAUGACGCCAACGGAGGUGGAACGAGGGCCAUGUCCCAACUGCCUUACCCCGCUGACCUCCUGCUGCCGUGAGGAGAGCGGCACCUCGUCGGAGAAGGCAGCGUUUUGCUUCAGCUGUCGCCGUUACUUCACCUUUGGAGAACUGUGGACGCGCGAUGCACGUGAGGUUAUGGGACAGCUGUAGAAUGGUAUCUUGGGCGCUGUCAGGGUGGGAUUGGACAAGGAGGGGGGGUGCGCCGGAGGACGGUUGCAGCACAAGACCCAGAAAAGCAUCGAUCGCAGGACGCAAUCGCGCGCAGGUUGCACUGACGCUCUCUGCUUUUUCUCUCUGAUGCCCAUUCGCUUCGUCGUGGGGAGCCGGUGAUGUACUUCUCUUUGUCGCUUGCGAUAUACGUGUCUUCCUCUCUGCGCCCCGUGUGGGUGUACGUGACAUUCACGGGCGUGUACACUUCUUUGAACGACAAAG